UACGAAGGGUGCUAGCGUUGUUCGGAAUUACUGGGCGUAAAGCGCGCGUAGGCUGUUUGACAAGUCAGAGGUGAAAGCCCUGGGCUCAACCCAGGAAUUGCCUUUGAAACUGUCAGACUUGAGUGUCGGAGGGGAUAGCGGAAUUCCUAAUGUAGAGGUGAAAUUCGUAGAUAUUAGGAGGAACACCGGUGGCGAAGGCGGCUAUCUGGACGUCAACUGACGCUGAGGCGCGAAAGCACGGGGAUCAAACAGG
rnacentral:rRNA from 1 species